rnacentral:rRNA from 1 species
GACAGAGGGUGCAAACGUUGUUCGGAAUUACUGGGUGUAAAGCGAGUGUAGGCGGUCUGAAAAGUCGGGUGUGAAAGCCCUGGGCUCAACCCAGGAAGUGCACUCGAAACUGCCAGGCUAGAGUAUCGGAGAGGUUGGUGGAAUUCUCGGUGUAGAGGUGAAAUUCGUAGAUAUCGAGAGGAACACCGGUGGCGAAGGCGGCCAACUGGACGAAUACUGACGCUGAGACUCGAAAGCGUGGGGAGCAAACAGG